CCGGCCCAUUACGAGCAGCAGUCGACUCUCUCACAAAACCCUCGUUCCUCCCCCUUUUUUCCGUCUCCCCUCGACGCCCAAGACCGCCGAUGACUGCAGAAAUCAAAUCUUUGGAAGCAGCAACAGCAGCGGUUACCUCAUUCUCCAAGAAGAGAAAGCUAAAGCAUGGAGGAGGCAAGGGAAAGAAAAAACCCAACAAGAAACUCAAACCCGUUGCAAAAACGAAAAACCCUAGCCAAAAGAUGAAGAAGCUCUUCAAGAAACGAGCCAAAGCCUACAACUCCGAUGAAUCCGAAGAAGAAUACGAGCAAGAGGAAGAAGAAGACAUUGCCGAUGAGCAAUCCAGUGAUGAGGAGGAACGAGAGGAGGAAGAGGAGAGGGAUAUCGAUGCCUCCGACGAAGAGGACGAUGGCUCUCGUUUGGGCAUUACUAAGUUCUCUGAAGGUUGCAGGGCUUUUCGAACGGCUUUCCUCAAGAUUAUGAAGAAGCAUCUCCCCAAUGAUCCGUUGGGCCCAGUCUUAUCUGCACACAAGAAGCUUAUUGCUAAUAAGCUACUGGAAGAGGAAACUGAGCAUAAGUCAAAGGGAGAGGCAAAGAAGGAAAAGCAUUUGGCAGGAGAGAAGGGUCAUGUAAAACCAGCAACUUUCCUAGACACGAAGGAAAAACUUCUAAUUAGCAUUGCUACAAAAGGAGUGGUUAAGUUGUUCAAUGCGGUCAAUAAGGCACAAAAUCCACAGAAAGACUUGAAUCCUUCGAGGUCUAAAGAUGCCAAAGAAUUGGCAAAACGGAGGAAACAGGCAUUUUUGUCGGAAAUCAAUAAGUCAGCAACAGAGAAAUCAGAUCAUGGAUUUUCCUUCUACUCUACGAAGGUUACUAAAUCUGCAAGUAAAGAAAACGAUGAUGAACCUGGAUGGGCUCCUUUACGUGAUAGUUACAUCCUUAACAAUUCAAAGUUGAAGGACUGGGAUAGAAUACCAGAUCCUGCUGCAGUAGAUGAUCAAGGAAAAAUAUCCUCGGACAGUUCUUCUGAUGAGGAUUGAUAAUUUGACGAUUAAAAAACUUUUGAGGAAUUUCUAGUGGCUCCGAGGAGGCAUCGUGAGUGGUAUUUCGAUUGUCUUUCGAGUUUGUGAGACUUGGGAUUAGGUGGAAUUGAGGAUUUGCCAAAUUCUUAGAACGAAGCAAAGAAUAAUUCGAGAUUGUUAUUGUCUUCUAGGUGAAGGUUAAAUAAAGUCUUUAAUGUUUAGUUGAUGAAUUGAGAGUUUGUAAUAAUGAGAUUCUUUCUUUAGGUUGAGAUUUAUUUGGAGUUGAGGAAUAUUUAUUUUUAUCAAGUUAAUUGGCUUAGUUUGACUUUUGGGAUUAAAGAGAAUUUUUAUUGUUGGUUUUAGUUCAAUGAAGAGAUUUGUUUUAGUGCUCUUUUAA